rnacentral:rRNA from 1 species
GACGAACGCUGGCGGCGUGCUUAACACAUGCAAGUCGAACGGAAAGACCCUGCUUUUGUGGGGUGCUCGAGUGGCGCACGGGUGAGUGACACGUGAGUAACCUGCACUUGUAUUUGGGAUAACUUCACGAAACUGGGGCUCAUACCGGAUAGGAGCUCCUGCUGCAUGGUGGGGGUUGGAAAGUUUCGGCGGUUUGGGCUGGACUCGCGGCUUAUCAGCUUGUUGGUGGGGUAGUGGAUUACCAAGGCUUUGACGGGUAGGCCGCCUGAGAGGGUGACCGGCGACAUGGGGCCUGAGAGAGGGCCCAGACGCCUACGGGAGGCAGCAGGGGGGAGCAUUGCGCAAUGGGGGGAAGCCAGAGACAGCGACGCCGCGUGCGUGAAGACGGCUUUCGGGUGGUAAACCGCUUUCGCCGGUGACGAAGCGUGAGUGACGGUAAUGGGUAAAGAAGCACCGGCUAACUACGUG